rnacentral:rRNA from 1 species
UGUGCUAAGGUAGCAUAAUCACUUGCCUUUUAAUUGAAGGCUUGUAUGAAAGGUAUCACAUUUAAGUACCUUUUUUUACUUUAUUAUGUUAAUUUAUAUUAAAUAUAAAAAUAUAUUUAUUUUUAAAUUAGACGACAAGACCCUAUUGAAUUUUACUUUAGUUUAGCUGGGGAAGCUGAUUAACUAAUAUUUUAAUUAUAUAAUUUUAUUACAAGAACCAAUUAAAUUGGGAAAAGGAAUAAAUUACCAUAGGGAUAACAGCGUAAUUUCUUUUUAAAGCUCUUAUUGAAAAAGAAGAUUGCGACCUCGAUGUUGAAUUAAUAUUUCUUAUACGCAGUAGUUUCUUAAGAAAGUCUGUUCGACUUUUAAAAUAUUACAUGAUUUGA